UACGGGGAGGGCGAGCGUUGUCCGGAGUUACUGGGCGUAAAGCGCACGCAGGCGGUCUGCUAAGUUUGGAGUGACAGUUGGUGGCUUAACUGCCAAAGUGCUUCGAAAACUGACAGACUUGAGGGCUUCAGAGGGACACGGAAUUCCGGGUGGAGUGGUGAAAUGCGUAGAGAUCCGGAGGAACACCAAAGGCGAAGGCAGUGUCCUGGGGAGUACCUGACGCUCAGGUGCGAAAGCCAGGGGAGCGAACGGG
rnacentral:rRNA from 1 species